AUGACAACAGUUUUAUAUUUUACAGGAACUAGAAUGGGGAGGAUGGAUCUUCUAAUACUCCUUCUAUUUGCAGGUCUAGUGGGAACAACAUCAGCAAACAUUAACACAACAACAGUCAACAUGACCUCGGCACCACCAGUCAAUAUGACGUCACCACCAGUCAACAUGACCUCGGCACCACCAGUCAACAUGACCUCGGCACCACCAGUCAAUAUGACGUCACCACCAGUCAACAUGACCUCGGCACCACCGGUCAAUAUGACGUCACCACCAGUCAACAUGACCUCGGCAUCGCCAGUCAACAUGACAUCGGCACAACCAGUCAACAUGACCUCGGCACCACCAGUAAACAUGACCUCGCCACCACCAGUCAACGUGACGUCACCACCAGUCAACAUGACGUCACCACCAGUCAACAUGACAUCGCCACAACCAGUCAAUAUGACGUCACCACCACCAGUCAACAUGACAUCGCCACAACCAGUCAAUAUGACGUCACCACCAGUCAACAUGACCUCUGCACCACCAGUCAACAUGACAUCGCCACAACCAGUCAAUAUGACCUCACCACCACCAGUCAACAUUACAUCGCCACAACCAGUCAACAUGACGUCACCACCACCAGUCAACAUGACAUCGCCACAACCAUUCAACAUGACGUCACCACCAGUCAACAUGACCUCGGCACCAUCAGUGAACAUGACGUCACCACCAGUCAACAUGACCUCGGCACCAUCAGUGAACAUGACGUCACCACCAGUCAACAUGACCUCGGCACCAUCAGUGAACAUGACUUCACCACCAGUCAACAUGACCUCCCCGCCACCAGUCAACAUGACAUCGCCACAACCAGUCAACAUGACCUCACCACCAGUCAACAUGACCUCACCAACACCAGUCAACAUGACUUCCCCACUAAUCUCAACCAUGUCACCUCUAGGCAAUGCAACCUCCCCACCAACAUCUGGAACAUCAGCACAACCAGCAGCUACAACAGAUGCACCAUCUACAGAAAGAAAAGUGGCAGUGGAAUUCAAGCUAAACGACACCUUCAGACCAGAAUUAGCAAACAAAUCCUCUGCUGGGUUCAAGGCAUUAGCAAAGACAUUAAUAGAGGCAGUAAGUACAAUCAAAUGUCUUAUCAUUUUAAUCUCCCGCUAGAUAGAAUACUAGUUAUGAUCAAUGUGAAUUAUUGAAAAAAUAUCUAUAUAGGGAUGUUUGUAUGUGCAUACACAGGACGUAAAAAAAUACAAAAUUACACUCCAGUUCUUAGGAUCAGAGAAAAGGAUUUCAUACGAGCCAACUAAAUGUUUAUGUUAACACAAAAGUAGUGACUGUUCAUAUGUCCAUCCAUCACAAAAAACAGUUGUCAUUCAGUUAGUUGCAAUGGCACUACGUUUUCACAGAGGAAAGAAAAACAUGUUAAAACAAAAUGGUAACCACUCAUGCAACACUUAUGACCUUGAUACAUUUGGAAGCGAGUGCUAAAUGAAGUAAAAAUAAGGAUAUUAAGCAAAAUUUAUACAGAUCCACAUAUAAUUAGGUACAUAACUAAUAAUUCACAGAUAAACAGUGGAGACUUGUAAUAGCAUUUCUAUUUCAUCACUCAUCCUGUUUUUUGAUGUUGCUUUAACUGUUUGUCAAUUUAAUUUCUCCAGCUUGAUUCUCUCUACAAAGAAGUCUAUGGAGAAUCGUUCAUAAGAACUGUGAUCAACUCCUUCAGGUAUAUGACGUAACACUAUAACUAAUAUUUGAAGAAGAAAAUAAUAAAUGUUUUAAUUAAGCUGUAUGCAUCCUUAUCUACCUAUUUUAAUGCAUAACUAUAAAAUGCUCAAACCUAUGAAAACAUGUAUGUCCCUUUACAAACCUGAAUGUUUAUUCGCUUCAUCAAGUUUUUUUGACAUUAGCAAAUAUCUGCAGUAUAUUGUAAUUUUAUGUCUGGUUGUCACAAAAAACAUGAUAUUAAUUAUCAU
rnacentral:lncRNA from 1 species